GGGGAUUUGGCUCAGUGGUAGAGCGCUUGCCUAGCAAGCGCAAGGCCCUGGGUUCAGUCCCCAGCUCCCCCC
rnacentral:tRNA from 1 species